UCAUACGUAGGGUCCAAGCGUUAUCCGGAAUUACUGGGCGUAAAGAGUUGCGUAGGUGGCAGAGUAAGUUGGUAGUGAAAGCCUUGGGCUCAACCCAUUCAACAUUAUCAAAACUGCUCAGCUAGAGGACGAGAGAGGUCACUGGAAUUCCUAGUGUAGGAGUGAAAUCCGUAGAUAUUAGGAGGAACACCGAUGGCGUAGGCAGGUGACUGGCUUGUUCCUGACACUAAGGCACGAAAGCGUGGGGAGCGAGCGGGAUUAGAUACCCCGGUAGUCCACGCCGUAAACGAUGGAUGCUAGCAGUACAGCGUAUCGACCCGCUGUGUUGCGAAGCUAACGCGUUAAGCAUCCCGCCUGUGGAGUACGGCCGCAAGGCU
rnacentral:rRNA from 1 species